rnacentral:lncRNA from 1 species
GUAGUGCAGCUGGUGAAGGACAGACUCAACCACCCCCACCACCCUGUGCAGCCCCUUGGGGGAAGGACAGGAACUAGGUGGGGGGCUCGAGUUUCACAGAUAAAGCUCAGGAAGCUUGAGAGUCCCUCCCAUCAGCUCUGAGAAGUCACAUCUGCCUGGAGCCCCCACUGGAGCCCACAGGACCCAGAGGGGUACAGCGGACCCUGAGCGUCCUGGCAAUUCCAGUCCAUUGAACACCCUACCAGAUGCCUCACGGCCCUGUGGCUGGGGUUGCCAGAUUUUUCAGGACAUCCAUGCAGUAUUUGGGACAUUCUUUUUUUUUUUCUUCUUUUCUUUUUCUUUUUAGGGCUGCCCUCUUGGCAUACGGAAGUUCCCAGGCUAGGGGUUGAAACAGAGCUGCAGCUGCCAGCCUACACCACAGCCACAGCAACACCUGAUCUGAGCCGAACUGCGACCUACACCACAGCUCACAGCAAUGCCAGAUCCUUAACCCACUGAGUGAAGCCAGGGAUGGAACCUGAAUCCUCAUUGGGUUGGUUUGGGUUGGGUUCUUUUUUUUUUUUUUCCUAGGGCUGCACUCGUGGCAUAUGGAGGUUCCCAGGCUAGGGGUCUAAUCCGAGCUGUAGCCGCCGGCCUACACCACAGCUCACAGUGACACAAGAUCCUUAACCCACUAAGCGAGGCCAGGGAUUGAACCCGCAACCUCAUGGUUCCUAGUCAGAUUCGUUAACCAUUGAGCCAUGACGGGAACUCCUUGGGUUGGCUUCUUAGCUCAAUGAGCCACCACGGGAACUCCCAGGGGACAUUCUUGCACUAGAAAGUAGUUCAUUGUUUAUCUGUGAUGCAAACUUACCCGGGUGUCCUGUGUUUUACCUACAACACUACCCACUACCCACUACCCGAAGCAGCAAGGAGGAGAAGAGGGGGACCUCUGGCAGUUUCCCAUUAGCCUGGAAUCUCCUUUUGGUCUUUCAUCUUUUCCCUCCCCAAACCAGUCAGACCCUCUAGAUCUGGGAGACCCCCUUUCCCUCCAGAGAACCAGGAGGAAGCUGAGGGGCAGAGCUGCCGGCACCUGGGACAAGGUCUUGGAGCAUCUGCCUUCUUCUCCUCGGAAGGUGGCCCUUCCUUCAAGAAGAUGGUGCUGGAUGUCUUCCACGUGCCUCCUGGGCCUCUGUCCACUUUCCCCACCCUGCCUGGGCCCCGGGAAGUUGACCUGCAGACCGCAUGGUGGCCCUCCUUGCCUUUGACUUCUGGAUGGGCCCAAACAAUGGGAAGUUCUGGCCGGAGACUGGAGCAGGGAGGAGAGUGAGGGCUGGGGCAUUGAUUUCUCUCCCUCCCUCUCUAACAGGUUGGUGACAAGAGCCACACCCGGUAGCCCCUCCUCCCUCCCUGUCUCAGGACCUGUUCUCCUUCCCCAUCCCUGGGGCACACCACCAUCCUGGUGGGCUUUUCUGUGUCCCACUCAACUUAAAAAAAAUUAGACUUCCUUCAACUGCCAUCUGCUUCCUGCGGGAUUCCAACUGCUGUGCAAUUUCAGGGGAAAACUCCCUGUUUUGGAUGAAACUGGAGAAAAUAAGCAGAAUGAGGAGUGAGAAUAUCCCUCCCUGCCCCCAACUCGAGUGCCUGAGCUUGCUCCUAUACA